rnacentral:rRNA from 1 species
AACGAACGCUGGCGGCAGGCCUAACACAUGCAAGUCGAGCGAGCAUUUCGGUGCUAGCGGCGGACGGGUGAGUAACGCGUGGGAACGUGCCCUUUUCUGCGGAAUAGUCCUGGGAAACUGGGGGUAAUACCGCAUACGCCCUCUUGGGGAAAGAUUUAUCGGAGAAGGAUCGGCCCGCGUUGGAUUAGGUAGUUGGUGGGGUAAUGGCCCACCAAGCCGACGAUCCAUAGCUGGUUUGAGAGGAUGAUCAGCCACACUGGGACUGAGACACGGCCCAGACUCCUACGGGAGGCAGCAGUGGGGAAUCUUAGACAAUGGGGGCAACCCUGAUCUAGCCAUGCCGCGUGAGUGAUGAAGGCCUUAGGGUUGUAAAGCUCUUUCAGCUGGGAAGAUAAUGACGGUACCAGCAGAAGAAGCCCCGGCUAACUCCGUG